GAAAAAGAGAAAAAGCCACCGCCGCCGCUUCCUUCCCCCACGUUGGCGGCCUCUCUCUACCGUGCGCCGCCCUCCUCCUUCCCCGACGCCGGCCGCCUCCCUGCACCACGCGCCGCCAUCCUCCUUCCCCGCCGCCCCCUCCUCCUUCCUCGGUGCCGGCAGUCUCCCUCCACUACGCGUCGCUCCUCCUUUCCCGGCGCAGGCCGCCUCCCUCCCCCACCGCACCGGCGACCCGGGCACCCGGUCCCCCACCGCGCCGUCGACCCGGCCACACGGUCCCCCACCGCGCCGCUGACCCGGCCACCCAGUCACCCGAAGUGCUGCCACACGGCCCCCAUCGCGCCGCCACCCCGGCCACCCGACCCCUCAUCGCGCUGCCGCCCCGGCAACCAGAUCCCUACUGCGCCUCGCUACCCCGGCCACCCAGCCCAGCGUCGCUCCACAUUAUCUCCGUGAUCCUGGAUGUUCUUCUGCAGUCCUACUGUGACAUCCGCCGCGGGCCACUACUACAGCAAAUAUCCGAGUGAGUUGCAGUACAACUUGAGCUAGAUGAGAGGGUGAUAAAUUUAAGAAGAAUCAGGGACGUAUGCGUGUUGUGCCAUUGAUCUUUCUUUGAACAAUGAUUCUCUGCCAUGGACGGAUGCCUUCUUUGUAGAUAAGGGCAUAUGACACUCUAUGCUCUGAAGGUGCUUGUUGAUAUGCCAAUGAGAACAUAUACAUUUUUCUGCAGGUUUUCUUGUUGAUUUAUGAGGGUACCACAAGUUCUAUUUUUAUAGAAGUUGAACUAAAGGAUAUGAAGUUUGAUGGAUGUGGAGGUUCUUUUGACCUUGAAUUUUAUAAGAGUUCAGCUUUUACUUGAUUUUCAGUUCAAAAUUUGCAUUCUUUUCACUACAUCAACUUUAACGUGUAGAACAUCAAGGAAAUCUUGAAAAUUAUAUGUGCACUCUAUGUCUUUUUCUUAUGCUUACAAGUAUUCUGCACUCAUACUAUUAUGCAUACGUUCAGGUCACGUGUGGAGUUUCAGAUAUAGGCAAUUGAAUUAGAGCACCAUGCUCUCACCCAUGUAAUUUGUAGGGAAAACAUAAUAAGUUCUAAGAAAAUAAAUAUAGAAGUUCAUAUUUCGAAACAAAUGAAGUAUUUGGGAACUAAAUGAAGUGUUUCAAAGUACAAAACUUCUAUUUAGGUUUCUUUUGUGUACUUCUAAUGUUACUGUGCAUGAACUUGUCGUUAUUUUUACACGUUUUUCAUGAUUAUGGUCAUUUCGACCAUGAAAAAUUAUGUUUGCUUUUUUCCGUUCAUCUUACAUGUCGAAGGAGCUCCCUUCAGUUCAAUGGAUUCAACAAAAUAAUCCAUGCUGCCUACUAGAACUUGUGUGUGUGUUGUGGCGUGUGUGCUGGUGCAUGCCUGGUGGCUGAUGCGGCGUGCGAGCAUGUACAUAAAUUGAACUGAAUGAUCUCCAGUAAGUGAACUCAAUGAUCUCCUGUAUCUGAACGACCGGGGAGAUGCAUCAUGUACAAAAAAAUGGUAGGAUCUUGAGGUGUUGCUGCUACUUCUUUCUUCUCAUGCCCUACUAUUGCUCCAUUCGAUUACAUGCUACUUAUAUGAAAAUAAUUGAUGGUCUAGGUACUUUUUGAAAUGCUUAUGACAACCAAUUUUUGUUGUUUGGUAUUUUUGCUGUUCAAGAAAAAUACGAAAUCCUUUUACUGCCCUCUUUCUUGUCUCACUCAUUCAUAGUAUUAUAUGUACACAAACCCAUGUCAUCUUGAACUUGUUGUUAUUAUUACCGGUGCCAAAAACUAGUGUCUUGUUUUGCUAAUGUCGAUCCCACAGUCACUGCCGUCUGCGCCCCACAUCCCCGUGCCACCCGUCGAAGGCUCUUGCUACGCAGAGAUCCAACGAAGAUAUGUUUUGGUUAAUUUUUGGUCAGUUAAUAUUUCGGUGACGUGCUCAGUUCAGUUUAUUAAUUUACUUCAGUGCAAUUUCUUAUUUUUGGUUCAAUUCAAAUUCUUAUUUCAGUUUAGUUAUGUAUAGCAAGAAGAAUAUCUUGCUGUAACUUGUCUCGGUUUUAUUAGUGUCUUACUUUCCUACAAAAGCGAAAGCAUAAUGUUGUUUCAUGUCAUAAGGUUUUCUCUGAAACAUACGGGGCCUAAGAUAAUGAAGCAAUAUAAACUCUACUGUCUCAUCAAGAUCUUAUCAUGAUACUUAUUUGAACAAUUCAUCCAUUUUCUUGGGAUUGAACCUACCGGUUCCACUGCUCAAAUUUAUUGAGCUUCUGACUUCAAAUUCUGAACAUCUUAUGUUACUUGUGCAUACAAGGGGGAAACUGAUUCUGAACAUCUACCAAGGCUCCUUGCUGGAUAUCGGCGCUAGAGGGGAACGGACACCAUCGUUGCCCCGUGCCCAUAGACUUCUCUUCUACAAUGCAAGUUCAGAAAAGUUCAGGGAAAAAAGCAGAUACUCGUCAUCGGUUAUGAAGUAGAUAGAGUACAUAAGAUGGCUACCAUGGUCUAUGAAGUACAGGCAAAAAGGUGCCACCCGCCGUCGGCACUCUCUUGUCGUGACGUACAGGCCAAGCAACGUGACUACAUGAGAAGGGUCAGCAUUAGCGGGAGCAGGGUAUGGAUGAGGAAGGAGCAUCAGUAUCUUCACUACUGCUACUGAUUCGUCUCCAUCCCUCUCUCACAUGUGAAGGAUGUUUGAAGAUUAUCGUGGAGCAAGUUCAAGAGAUUAGUUUCGUGAAAAUAAAUGUGAUAUUUUGGGAUUUCGCAUGAUCCAUAGCCAUCGGUGGCAACAGGCGAGCAGUUCGAGGCCUCCUGCAUGAGUCGUCCAUCAUCUUCUAUGCGUGAGCUUGUUGUCUCUACACAUCUAGCAUCAGAGUAUCUCCUCCCCUUCCGCACACACAUGUCAGGCGGUUGAGCUACUAUUGUUUGUGAUUACUGGUCGUGACUCUUACGUUGUCAUUGGACAAGAAUUUUUUUCUGUAACUCUGUAUUUGCAGGACAUUUAGCAAAAUAUUGUUGUGUUCUAAGUAUUCUAAUGUAGGCGAAAAUGGUGAACAUUUAAACACCAGCCCGAAUUAAAUGAAACUGGGAAGUUUUACUUUCAGUAAAUGGGUGAACCUAGAUGCAACAAAGCUCUGCU